UUUAAAACACAUUUUACAUCAGAAAGUAAAUCUUUGUACAACCUGCUUAACCCAAAGGAAGAUCUUCCUUUCAUGGUUUAUGCUGAACCUUCCAGAAGCCCAAUAAAAUGCAGCAUUUGGAGUUCAGUGGAACCCAAGCGGCCCCCUCUAAUCUGACGCUCAGCAGCCCAGCUGAACACAGAGAGGGCUGAGAGAUGAACCACGAGAGACACUGAUGUUACCUGCUGCUUACCACCGGAACACAGACCUGCUGUGGGUUUAGAUCCAUGAACGAUGUGUGUGUGUGAGUGCAUGUCUGUGUAAAUAAGUCUGUGUGUGUGUGUGUGUGUGUGUGUGUGUGUGU